GGGGAUUUAGCUCAGCAGCAUAAGUGCCUGCCUUGCAAGCAGGUAGUCGUGAGUUCAAUCCCCUCGGUACCUA
rfam:Cavia porcellus supercont2_3 genomic scaffold, whole genome shotgun sequence.